UGCCACCUCGAGGGCCCGAAACCCGGGACGUCCGGGCUGAUCCUGCGCCCCUGUAGCCGGGCCGCUGGCCAUGCGGUCUGACCUGCGCCCGGGAUCCCUGCGUGAACGGGGGCACCUGCCUGGCACACCCCAAUGGGAGCCGCUCCUGCCUGUGCCCCCCCAGCUUUGUGGGGGAGUCGUGCCAGUUCCAGGACCCGUGCCGCCCCGAGCGCUGCCGGAAUGGGGGCACCUGCUUUCCCCGGCUCUUCCACCCCUCGGCGCCCCCCACCUACACCUGCUCCUGCCCCCCAGGGUUCACCGGGGACGAGUGCCAGGGGGCCGUGGGCGACCCCUGCUUCCCCUCGCCCUGCCAGAAACGUGGCACCUGCCAGCGCCUGUCCAGCGCCCAGUACCGCUGCCUGUGCAUGGAAGG